rnacentral:rRNA from 1 species
UAGGGAAUCUUCGGCAAUGGGGGGAACCCUGACCGAGCAACGCCGCGUGAGUGAAGAAGGUUUUCGGAUCGUAAAGCUCUGUUGUUAAGGAAGAACGAGUGUGAGAAUGGAAAGUUCAUGCUGUGACGGUACUUAACCAGAAAGGGACGGCUAACUACGUGCCAGCAGCCGCGGUAAUACGUAGGUCCCGAGCGUUGUCCGGAUUUAUUGGGCGUAAAGCGAGCGCAGGCGGUUAGAAAAGUCUGAAGUGAAAGGCAGUGGCUCAACCAUUGUAGGCUUUGGAAACUGUUUAACUUGAGUGCAGGAGAGAAAAGUGGAAUUACUAGUGUAGCGGUGAAAUGCGUAGAGAUUAGGAGGAACACCGGUGGCGAAAGCGGCUUUUUGGCCUGCAACUGACACUGAGGCGCGAAAGCGUGGGGAGCAAACAGG